rnacentral:rRNA from 1 species
AGUGAACGCUGGCGGUAGGCCUAACACAUGCAAGUCGAACGGCAGCACAGUAAGAGCUUGCUCUUACGGGUGGCGAGUGGCGGACGGGUGAGGAAUACAUCGGAAUCUACUUUUUCGUGGGGGAUAACGUAGGGAAACUUACGCUAAUAUCGCAUACGACCUACGGGUGAAAGCAGGGGAUCUUCGGACCUUGCGCGAUUGAAUGAGCCGAUGUCGGAUUAGCUAGUUGGCGGGGUAAAGGCCCACCAAGGCGACGAUCCGUAGCUGGUCUGAGAGGAUGAUCAGCCACACUGGAACUGAGACACGGUCCAGACUCCUACGGGAGGCAGCAGUGGGGAAUAUUGGACAAUGGGCGCAAGCCUGAUCCAGCCAUACCGCGUGGGUGAAGAAGGCCUUCGGAUUGUAAAGCCCUUUUGUUGGGGAAGAAAAGCAGCAAGUUAAUACCCCGCUGUUCUGACGGUACCCAAAGAAUAAGCACCGGCUAACUUCGUG